UACAGAGGUGGCAAGCGUUGUUCGGAAUUACUGGGCGUAAAGGGCGCGUAGGCGGCCUACUAAGUCAGACGUGAAAUCCCUCAGCUUAACUGGGGAACUGCGUCUGAUACUGGAUGGCUUGGAUUCGGGAGAGGAAUGCGGAAUUCCAGGUGUAGCGGUGAAAUGCGUAGAUAUCUGGAGGAACACCGGUGGCGAAGGCGGCAUUCUGGGACCGAUAUUGACGCUGAUGAGCGAAAGCUAGGGGAGCAAACGGG
rnacentral:rRNA from 1 species